GGCUGAGUAGGCGGCGAGUUGUAGCCUCGUGCACGGGCAUAAGGCCCCCCAACCAA
rnacentral:tRNA from 1 species